rnacentral:rRNA from 1 species
GACGAACGCUGGCGGCGUGCCUAAUACAUGCAAGUCGAACGCAGUGGGGACGGGUGAGUAACACGUGGGUAACCUCCCAUCAGAGGGGAUAACACUUGGAAACAGGUGCUAAACCGAUACUGAUGGAUGGACCCGCGGUGCAUUAGCUUGUUGGUGAGGUAACGGCUCACCAAGGCCACGAUGCAUAGCGGACCAAUGGUGUGAGUAGACCCCUCGGGAGCAAGGACACGGCCCAGACUCCUACGGGAGGCAGCAGUAGGGAAUCUUCGGCAAUGGACAAAAGUCUGACCGAUCAACACAGCAUGAGUAAAGAAGGUUUUCGGAUCGUAAAACUCUGUUGUUAGAGAAGCGGUAUCUAACCAGAAAGCCACGGCUAACUACGUGCCAGCAGCCGCGGUAAUUC